UUUUUCUCAGAUUGUAGAAGGAAACGUUUCUGCUAAGUGGAAUAUUAAUGAAACUAAAGAGAGGAAGGAGAGCAGCAGAAGACCUGCCUGCAGCUGUUACAAGACUGAAGAUCUACAGGAAUUACCAGAUAACGGACCUGCCUUGGACAUUUUCCUGGAAAAACCCUCAGAUGACUCCUAGAAGUGACUUGUCCAUGACAGUUUCAGACUGACGACCCUGAAUUGGAUUAAGACAUAUAGAAAAUGAUGAAAUGAGACUUCAGACUGGUUUAACGGUGGUUUGUGACUAGAUGCUGAACCA